UACGUAGGAGGCGAGCGUUGUCCGGAGUUACUGGGCGUAAAGGGUGCGUAGGCGGCUGCGCGCGUGGAGGGUGAAAUCUCUCGGCUUACCCGGGAGGGGGCUUUCCAGACGGCGUGGCUUGAGGGACGGAGAGGGGCGUGGAAUUCCGGGUGUAGCGGUGGAAUGCGUAGAGAUCCGGAAGAACACCGGUGGCGAAGGCGGCCUGCUGGGCAGUAGCUGACGCUGAGGCGCGACAGCGUGGGGAGCAAACAGG
rnacentral:rRNA from 1 species